rnacentral:lncRNA from 1 species
UGACCACUGGAGCCUGUGAAGCAGUUGCCCCCUCAGCUUGCGGGACGCUCCCCUCUCCCUCCCCUUGUCUGCUCUAGAACAUGCACCAUGUCUGGUUUCUUCAGGGUGGAGUGGACGGUGUCCUCACGUCGAUGUUGCCGUGACCUUGCUGUUGCUGAGGAUGCGUGUCGUCACCCAUGCACACACUUCCAAGACGCUAAGCCCUUUCUCCACACAGGUGUGGCUCGCUCAUUUACUCACAGUUUCACCAGGAUCUCCCAGUGCCCACUGAAGCAGGUGACUGUGCAGUCACACUUACAGCGUGUCUUUCAGAACCCGGCUCUCUGUGAACCUGUCCUGCUUUCUAGAACACUCGGAGCUCAACAGCAUGUUGGAUUCAUUUAACAAAAUACUGCAGCAGAAAAACUGAGGGCUAGUGCAGCCAUGCCGUUAUUUAAAAGCUUACAUUUUUCUUUGAAUUUGAAAAAUAAUUGAUGCCUAUUUUUUAAUGAAGAAAGCAAUGUACAGUAUGCCAUCUUAAAUCCUUUCCUGGACAAAGCUGGCAUGUAUGGAUGGCUGGGCAGGGGUUGGUGUGUAGGUAGGUAGGUAGAUUAGAAGAAAAUUAAGUCAGUAAAUUUAAAUUCACAUGCUGCACACUUUGUAAGCCCCUUUUUAAACAAAAGAAGAAGGAAGAAAAAAAGCAAGUGGAAAAUCCAUGCCCACAGAUGCCCACUGGUAAGAUGGCCCUGCCCUGCACUGGUCUCCGUGGCAACGGCAGAGUGAGGGGAAAGGAGGACUGAGGACAUGCUACCUCGCCCAUUUAUCCUCUGAAACACUGUCAUCUCCCGAGCUUAUUUACUACCUUUCUGUUCUGUGGAGUCACAUUAUGGGUCUGUGCUGCUGGGAACCACGGGUAGAAAAGCAUUUCUCCCUCCAAGGCACCGAGCAGGCACUGACCACUAACAGGAAGCUCUCUGCAGGCUCUUACAAAAUAUUUAUCUCCUGGGACUUCCGUGGGGCACGAGGGGACCUGUCACUGCCUGGCCUCCUGAAUCUCUAGCAUCACAUCCGAGAUCCCGUUUUCAAUAUUCCAUGUGUUGUGGACAUGCCUUUAAAUGGUCUACAGACGCUGACACCUGGUUAUUUAUUGUCUCCUCUGCAGAGAAGCAGCAAUAAACACAUCACCUCCAAGGUGGGGAGGCAGGAAGGGGUCAGCACAGUGGGCUCCCAGAUCGAUGGCACUUCCCCUCCCUUGAGCCGUCCACUUUCCAUAAACCAACCGGCAGUCCCCCUCGGCACUGUCACUGGGAGUGAUGGAUAGACGGGCCAUGGAGCUCCCUGCACCUGCGUUCGCGGGGACUCCUGAAGCGGUGGCACCACACAACUCACUUCAGAGUUCGUUUUUGUUCAAACCAGUCAACGAGGUCUUGUGAUACUGCGAGUUUUAAAGCUUCACCUUUCAGGAAGGGCAGAGCCUCGCCAACCACAGAAACAAAGCCAGAGCCACGGGAGUGGGGCCCAGCCCAUUUUCGGGUCCUGCAGGGUCCCCACCUCAGUCACUCCGACGUGUCUAAGGGUCUCCGGAGACGCAGGCUAAACGGCGGCCUCGCAGAACAGCCAGAAGCCACAUGCUGAAGAGACUGGGCCGUUGGCCGUAGACAAGGGGGCCACCCCGGAACACAGCAAGACCCGGGCUCGGCCCCUGAGGUCUCGUGUCUGUGGGAAC